GGGUGGAGCUCAGUGGUAGAGCACGUGCUUAGCAUGCACGAGGUCCUGGGUUCAAUCCCCAGUACGCCCA
rnacentral:tRNA from 1 species